rnacentral:tRNA from 1 species
GGGGAUAUAGCUCAGUGGUAGAGCGUCUCGUUUGCAUUAGUAAAUCCAAAUCUCGAGAAGGUCUGGGGUUCAAUCCCCCAUGUCUCCA